AGAGUUUGAUCCUGGCUCAGGAUGAACGUUGGCGGCGUGCCUUACCAAUGCGAGUCGAACGGUACGGGGAGGCUCUUCGGAGCGCCCACGACCGUGGCGUCCGGGUGCGUAACACGUAGCUAACCUACCGGCCGGUGGGGGAAAACUCCGGGAAACCGGAGGUAAUCCCGCAUGGGGUCGCCUGGUAGACAGGUGGACGAAAGCUGUGGCAGGGGAACCUGUCAUGGCGCCGGCUGAGGGGGCUGCGGCCGAUUAGCUAGUUGGUGGGGUAAUGGCUCACCAAGGCAGUGAUCGGUAGCGGGUCUGAGAGGAUGAUCCGCCACACGGGGACUGAGAUAUGGUCCCGAGCCCUACGGGGUUUAGCAUGGAGGAAUCUUGCGCAAUGGGCGAAAGCCUGACGCAGCGACGCCGCGUGGGGGAUGAAGGCCUUCGGGUUGUAAACCCCUUUUCCCGGGGAUGAGAAAGGACAGUACCCGGGGAAUAAGGUUCGGCUAACUACGUGCCAGCAGCCGCGGUAAUACGUAGGAACCGAGCGUUGUCCGGAUUUACUGGGCGUAAAGUGCGCGUAGGCGGUCCGUUAAGUCUCAUGUGAAAUCUCCCGGCUCAACUGGGAGGGGUCAUGGGAUACUGGCAGACUGGAGUGCAGUAGAGGAAAGCGGAAUUCCCGGAGUAGUGGUGGAAUGCGUAGAUACCGGGAGGAACACCAGAGGCGAAGGCGGCUUUCUGGGCUGUAACUGACGCUGAGGCGCGAAAGCGUGGGUAGCAAACCGGAUUAGAUACCCGGGUAGUCCACGCCCUAAACGAUGUCAACUAGCCGUUGGGUCCUUAAGGACUUAGUGGCGCAGCUAACGCGAUAAGUUGACCGCCUGGGGAGUACGGCCGCAAGGUUAAAACUCAAAGGAAUUGACGGGGGCCCGCACAAGCGGUGGAGCAUGUGGUUUAAUUCGAUGCAACGCGAAGAACCUUACCAGGCCUUGACAUCCUGCGAACUUUCCAGAGAUGGAUCGGUGCCUUCGGGAGCGCAGAGACAGGUGCUGCAUGGCUGUCGUCAGCUCGUG
rnacentral:rRNA from 1 species